UGGGGAAUAUUGCACAAUGGGGGAAACCCUGAUGCAGCGACGCCGCGUGAGCGAAGAAGGCUUUCGAGUCGUAAAGCUCUGUCCUAUGAGAAGAUAAUGACGGUAUCAUAGGAGGAAGCCCUGGCUAAAUACGUGCCAGCAGCCGCGGUAAUACGUAUGGGGCGAGCGUUGUCCGGAAUUAUUGGGCGUAAAGGGUACGUAGGCGGUUUUUUAAGUCAGGUGUCAAAGCGUGGAGCUUAACUCCAUUAAGCACUUGAAACUGAAAGACUUGAGUGAAGGAGAGGAAAGUGGAAUUCCUAGUGUAGCGGUGAAAUGCGUAGAUAUUAGGAGGAACACCGGUGGCGAAGGCGGGUCUCUGGGCCGUUACUGACGCUGAGGAGCGAAAGCGUGGGGAGCGAACAGG
rnacentral:rRNA from 1 species